rnacentral:lncRNA from 1 species
ACAGAAAGGAAUUAGUCUUAAGAGAAAGAAAUAUCUUGUAGGUGUUUGUGGAGUACACCUAUAACUAUUUAAUUUAGUCAAAGAAAGCCACUCGCACUGUUGUCUUAUGGUGCAAAGCAAGCAGAGAGAAGAGGAAAACGUCAUUGCGUGACCAGAUGUCCAAUGAGUACCACGAUCCUAAAUAUAAAAUUGAGUAUUUUAUAGCUGAGUAUUUUAAGCGUUUUCACCCUAUCUGGUGCAAAUACCUGAAGUAUUUCCACAAAUGUAAGUUUAUCUAUCCAUUAUUUUAUGUGCUGUAUGUGAUUCCAUUAUGUUUUCAGAUAAAUAUGUAAGGAAAGGAUUAGUCCUUGACCCAGAGGGACAAUAUAGGACAGAACUUGAAAGGCAACCCAAGGCUGCUCUUUUUCUUUUUAGCACAACGUAAGUCACUUGUUCAGUUCCAUGCGUAAAUGAGGAAGUUAAAGCAGUUGUUAACGUG